rnacentral:rRNA from 1 species
GACGAACGCUGGCGGCGUGCUUAACACAUGCAAGUCGAACGGAAAGGCCCUGCUUGCCGGGUGCUCGAGUGGCGAACGGGUGAGUAACACGUGGGUGAUCUGCCCCUUACUUUGGGAUAAGCCUGGGAAACUGGGUCUAAUACUGGAUAGGACCAUGCUGUAGGUGGUGUGGUGGAAAGAUUAGUUUCGGUAAGGGAUGAGCUCGCGGCCUAUCAGCUUGUUGGUGGGGUAAUGGCCUACCAAGGCGUCGACGGGUAGCCGGCCUGAGAGGGUGGACGGCCACAUUGGGACUGGGAUACGGCCCAGACUCCUACGGGAGGCAGCAGUGGGGAAUAUUGCACAAUGGGCGCAAGCCUGAUGCAGCGACGCCGCGUGGGGGAUGACGGCCUUCGGGUUGUAAACUCCUUCCAGCCAUGACGAAGCCCUUGUGGUGACGGUAGUGGUAGAAGAAGCACCGGCUAACUACGUG